rnacentral:ribozyme from 1 species
CGCAGAGUAACGCGCACAGAUAGACCAUCUCACGGUAUCGAGUGUGCGCGGUAAUGCGGCGGUAGUCGUUACAAGCCGAC